AAUAGAUACCCGGGUAGUCCACGCUGUAAACGGUGGGUACUAGGUGUGGGGUCCAUUCCACGGGUUCCGCGCCGUAGCUAACGCUUUAAGUACCCCGCCUGGGGAGUACGGCCGCAAGGCUAAAACUCAAAAGGAAUUGACGGGGCCCCGCACAAGCGGCGGAGCAUGCGGAUUAAUUCGAUGCAACGCGUAGAACCUUACCUGGGUUUGACAUGGAUCGGGAGUGCUCAGAGAUGGGUGUGCCUCUUUUGGGGUCGGUUCACAGGUGGUGCAUGGCUGUCGUCAGCUCGUGUCGUGAGAUGUUGGGUUAAGUCCCGCAACGAGCGCAACCCUUGUUCACUGUUGCCAGCACGUUAUGGUGGGGACUCAGUGGAGACCGCCGGGGUCAACUCGGAGGAAGGUGGGGAUGACGUCAAGUCAUCAUGCCCCUUAUGUCCAGGGCUUCACGCAUGCUACAAUGGCUGGUACAGAGAGUGGCGAGCCUGUGAGGGUGAGCGAAUCUCGGAAAGCCGGUCUCAGUUCGGAUUGGGGUCUGC
rnacentral:rRNA from 1 species